rnacentral:rRNA from 1 species
AUUGAACGCUGGCGGCAUGCUUUACACAUGCAAGUCGAACGGCAGCACGGGCUUCGGCCUGGUGGCGAGUGGCGAACGGGUGAGUAAUAUAUCGGAACGUACCCAAGAGUGGGGGAUAACGUAGCGAAAGUUACGCUAAUACCGCAUACGAUCUAAGAAUGAAAGUGGGGGAUCGCAAGACCUCAUGCUCCUGGAGCGGCCGAUAUCUGAUUAGCUAGUUGGUGAGGUAAAGGCUCACCAAGGCGACGAUCAGUAGCUGGUCUGAGAGGACGACCAGCCACACUGGAACUGAGACACGGUCCAGACUCCUACGGGAGGCAGCAGUGGGGAAUUUUGGACAAUGGGCGCAAGCCUGAUCCAGCAAUGCCGCGUGAGUGAAGAAGGCCUUCGGGUUGUAAAGCUCUUUUGUCAGGGAAGAAACGGUAGGGGCUAAUAUCCUUUGCUAAUGACGGUACCUGAAGAAUAAGCACCGGCUAACUACGUGCCAGCCGCCGCCGUAAGAC